GACGAACGCUGGCGGCGUGCUUAACACAUGCAAGUCGAACGGAAAGGCCCCCUUGUGGGGUACUCGAGUGGCGAACGGGUGAGUAACACGUGAGUAACCUCCCCUUGACUUUGGGAUAACUUCAGGAAACUGGGGCUAAUACCGGAUAGGAGCUCCUGCUGCAUGGUGGGGGUUGGAAAGUUUCGGCGGUUGGGGAUGGACUCGCGGCUUAUCAGCUUGUUGGUGGGGUAGUGGCUCACCAAGGCUUUGACGGGUAGCCGGCCUGAGAGGGUGACCGGCCACAUUGGGACUGAGAUACGGCCCAGACUCCUACGGGAGGCAGCAGUGGGGAAUAUUGCACAAUGGGCGGAAGCCUGAUGCAGCAACGCCGCGUGCGGGAUGACGGCCUUCGGGUUGUAAACCGCUUUCGCCUGUGACGAAGCGUGAGUGACGGUAAUGGGUAAAGAAGCACCGGCUAACUACGUG
rnacentral:rRNA from 1 species